UACGUAGGGUGCAAGCGUUGUUCGGAAUCAUUGGGCGUAAAGCGCGUGUAGGUGGUUUGUUAAGUCGAGUGUGAAAUCCCUGGGCUCAACCGAGGAAGUGCAUUCGAAACUAACUGGCUAGAAGAUGGUAGAGGAAGGUGGAAUUCCAAGUGUAGAGGUGAAAUUCGUAGAUAUUUGGAGGAAUACCGGUGGCGAAGGCGGCCUUCUGGACCAUUCUUGACACUGAGACGCGAAAGCGUGGGGAGCAAACAGG
rnacentral:rRNA from 1 species